rnacentral:rRNA from 1 species
UACGUAGGGUGCAAGCGUUAAUCGGAAUUACUGGGCGUAAAGCGUGCGCAGGCGGCUUUGCAAGACAGAUGUGAAAUCCCCGGGCUCAACCUGGGAACUGCAUUUGUGACUGCAUGGCUAGAGUACGGUAGAGGGGGAUGGAAUUCCGCGUGUAGCAGUGAAAUGCGUAGAUAUGCGGAGGAACACCGAUGGCGAAGGCAAUCCCCUGGACCUGUACUGACGCUCAUGCACGAAAGACGUGGGGAGCAAACGAGG